AGGACUUAUGUGAUUGAGACCAAAGC
rnacentral:piRNA from 1 species